rnacentral:rRNA from 1 species
UACGAAGGGGGCUAGCGUUGUUCGGAAUUACUGGGCGUAAAGCGCACGUAGGCGGAUCGAUCAGUCAGGGGUGAAAUCCCAGGGCUCAACCCUGGAACUGCCUUUGAUACUGUCGAUCUGGAGUAUGGAAGAGGUGAGUGGAAUUCCGAGUGUAGAGGUGAAAUUCGUAGAUAUUCGGAGGAACACCAGUGGCGAAGGCGGCUCACUGGUCCAUUACUGACGCUGAGACGCGAAAGCGUGGGGAGCGAACCGG